GUCUGGGUGGCGCAGUGAUCAGCGCAUCUGCUUAGUAAGCAGGACAUGCAGGUUCAAAUCCUGCUCUGGCACA